rnacentral:rRNA from 1 species
AGAGCGAACGCUGGCGGCAUGCUUAACACAUGCAAGUCGCACGGUCGGAGCAAUCCGGCAGUGGCGGACGGGUGAGUAACGCGUAGGUAUCUAUCCUUGGGUGGGGGAUAACGCCGGGAAACUGGUGCUAAUACCGCAUGACGACUGAGGUCCAAAGGCGCAAGUCGCCUGGGGAGGAGCCUGCGUCCGAUUAGCUUGUUGGUGGGGUAAUGGCCUACCAAGGCGACGAUCGGUAGCUGGUCUGAGAGGAUGAUCAGCCACAUUGGGACUGAGACACGGCCCAAACUCCUACGGGAGGCAGCAGUGGGGAAUAUUGGACAAUGGGCGAAAGCCUGAUCCAGCAAUGCCGCGUGGAUGAAGAAGGUCUUCGGAUUGUAAAGUCCUUUCGGCGGGACGAUGAUGACGGUACCCGCAGAGAAGCCCCGGCUAACUUCGUGCCAGCAGCCGC